rnacentral:rRNA from 1 species
ACUCAAAGGAAUUGACGGGGGCCCGCACAAGCGGUGGAGCAUGUGGUUCAAUUCGACGCAACGCGAAGAACCUUACCUGGGCUCGAAAUGUAGUGGACCGGGGUGGAAACAUCCCUUUCUCGCAAGAGACUGCUAUAUAGGUGCUGCAUGGCUGUCGUCAGCUCGUGUCGUGAGAUGUUGGGUUAAGUCCCGCAACGAGCGCAACCCUUAUUGCCAGUUGCUAACAGGUCAAGCUGAGCACUCUGGCGAAACUGCCCCGGAUAACGGGGAGGAAGGUGGGGAUGACGUCAAGUCCUCAUGGCCUUUAUGUCCAGGGCUACACACGUGCUACAAUGGGUGGUACAAACCGUCGCAAACCCGCGAGGGGGAGCUAAUCGGAAAAAGCCAUCCUCAGUUCGGAUUGGAGUCUGCAACCCGACUCCAUGAAGCUGGAAUCGCUAGUAAUCGCGGAUCAGCACGCCGCGGUGAAUACGUUCCCGGGCCUUGUACACACCGCCCGU